UACACAGAACUCCGAUUGCGAAGGCAGCUUACUAAGGGCUUACUGACGCUGAUGCACGAAAGCGUGGGGAUCAAACAGGGAUUAGAUACCCUGGUAGUCCACGCCGUAAACGAUGAUAACUCGCUGUUGGCGAUAUACGGUCAGCGGCUUAGCGAAAGCGUUAAGUUAUCCACCUGGGGAGUACGCUCGCAAGAGUGAAACUCAAAGGAAUUGACGGGGGCCCGCACAAGCGGAGGAACAUGUGGUUUAAUUCGAUGAUACGCGAGGAACCUUACCUGGGCUUAAAUGUGUUCUGACCGCCGGAGAAAUUCGGUUUCCCGCAAGGGCAAGGCACAAGGUGCUGCAUGGUUGUCGUCAGCUCGUGCCGUGAGGUGUCGGGUUAAGUCCCAUAACGAGCGCAACCCUUAUUGUCAGUUGCUAACAGGUAAAGCUGAGGACUCUGGCGAGACUGCCACCGUAAGGUGUGAGGAAGGUGGGGAUGACGUCAAAUCAGCACGGCCCUUAUGUCCAGGGCUACACACGUGUUACAAUGGCCAGUACAAAGGGCAGCUACCCCGCGAGGGGAUGCUAAUCUCGAAAGCUGGUCUCAGUUCGGAUCGGAGUCUGCAACCCGACUCCGUGAAGCUGGAUUCGCUAGUAAUCGCGCAUCAGCCAUGGCGCGGUGAAUACGUUCCCGGGCCUUGUACACACCGCCCGUCAAACCAUGGGAGUUGGGGGUACCUGAAGUAUGUGACCGCGAGGAGCGUCCUA
rnacentral:rRNA from 1 species